UACGUAGGGUGCAAGCGUUGUCCGGAAUUAUUGGGCGUAAAGAGCUUGUAGGCGGUUUGUCGCGUCUGCUGUGAAAUUUCGGGGCUCAACCCCGAACUUGCAGUGGGUACGGGCAGACUAGAGUGUGGUAGGGGAGACUGGAAUUCCUGGUGUAGCGGUGAAAUGCGCAGAUAUCAGGAGGAACACCGAUGGCGAAGGCAGGUCUCUGGGCCGACUACUGACGGCUGAGGAGCGAAAGCGUGGGGAGCGAACAGG
rnacentral:rRNA from 1 species